GUUUCCAUAGUGUAGUGGUUAUCACGUCACCUAACACGCGAAAGGUCCCCAGUUCGAAACUGGGUGGAAACA
rnacentral:tRNA from 1 species